UAGGGAAUCUUCGGCAAUGGACGAAAGUCUGACCGAGCAACGCCGCGUGAGUGAUGAAGGGUUUCGGCUCGUAAAACUCUGUUGCCAAGGAAGAACGCUUGCGGGAGUAACUGCCCGUGAGGUGACGGUACUUGAGAAGAAAGCCCCGGCUAACUACGUGCCAGCAGCCGCGGUAAUACGUAGGGGGCAAGCGUUGUCCGGAAUUAUUGGGCGUAAAGCGCGCGCAGG
rnacentral:rRNA from 1 species